UACAAUGUGGUGUAAGUGCACAUGAACUUUUGAUGUUUAGGGUAUAGGUUCAAACCCUUUCUUUGUAA
rnacentral:tRNA from 1 species